rnacentral:rRNA from 1 species
UACGUAGGGGGCGAGCGUUGUCCGGAAUUACUGGGCGUAAAGGGCGCGUAGGCGGUUCGUUAAGUUAGAUGUGAAACCCCCGGGCUUAACCCGGGGCAUGCAUCUAAAACUGGCAGACUUGAGUGCAGGAGAGGGAAGCGGAAUUCCUAGUGUAGCGGUGAAAUGCGUAGAUAUUAGGAGGAACACCAGUGGCGAAGGCGGCUUUCUGGACUGUAACUGACGCUGAGGCGCGAAAGCGUGGGGAGCAAACAGG